AUUGACUGGUCCAAACCCUAUCUAACUCGAUUCGUGAUUUUUUUUUCAGGAAUGACACUACAAAAAAAUCCGGAUUUACCGGCGACAAUUGCCGCCGGUAAUCAAAGGAAACCCGCCGGUAUACAAAUUAUCGGCAGCGAGUUGCCGUCGGUAAAUUGCUCGUCAGUGAUUCUUACACCAGGGGCGAACGACCGCUGCCAGUAAAUAACAGCGGCGACGCCACCGUUGUUCGGCGGAGCUUUGCCGGACAUCUGCGUUCAUCUUGCUCAUGAUCUCCAGAUCUUGUUGAACAUUCAGUACUAAGAAUAAAUUUCGUGGCUUUUAGUUGAUGAUCUAAUGGAAUUUUGCGGUUUAAUGGAUUGUUUGCGCAUAGGAGAUCGCAACGGACUGUAGAUCUAUAUUGCAUCUAGCUCUAGAAGUAGUCGCAAAUUUUAAUUUUACUUUUGGUAAAUAUUUGUGUUUGUAGAUCACUUGGAUAAGAUGUUUCUUCAUUCUAGUAGUAUAAUUUUACCAGAUUUUGUGCCUGUGCGUAUUCUUUUUUAUGGAAAUUGAAUGAAAUUAUUGUUUGUUGCCUACAAAACUCGUUUCCUUGCUUAUUAGAAUUACGAGCUUC
rnacentral:lncRNA from 1 species